AUCCACAUUAAUCCACUCUUUCUUAAUUCAACCGAUGGUAAAACUAGUUGUUUUAUUGAGACAUAAAAACAACAUGAUUUUGGACAUUUUCUUUUUGUAAAUACUUACAUGCGAUAUCUAAUUUCUAUGUUUAUUUUUACCAUCCAACAUUUAUUUCAAAUUCACAGCAAAUAUAUCUCCCACAUCAAUUUCUUGUUAUGAGUUGGUUAAUUUGAAGUUUUGUUUUGGAUCUGAAUAUGCUAAUCUCUAGCAAGUGAAAUAUGACUUUUGAUAUUGGAUCUUUUCUAAAAAAUGUCCAAGACGUGUUUUUAAGUUUCAGGAUUGUUAAGGGUACCAUGUAAGGAUACUGUCAUUUGGUAGUAUCGAGAAAGAAGUGCUUGAAGUCAAUCCGAGUGAAAAGAAGUAUUAUAAAGACAUUUAUUUGAGUUUCUACUUAGAAGGUGGUAACAAUGUUCAUUACAACGUGGCAUUUUUAAACACAGGUAUGCAAAACUUCAAAAUCUUUUAAUACAAAAAAACAUGGUUAUUGAUAUUUAAGAAUUUCUCACCGAAAUGCCUAUUGUGGAUCAUGUUGAGUCAUCCCCAUCAGAUCAUCGUUCAAGCUUGGGGUGUUUCCAUUCAUAUAAAAACAAUAUAAGGUUGCGCGUUUCCAAUAUACAUGAUGAAGACAAGCAGUUACUAGAAAAAUUUGCAAAACACGAAAUUAUGUUAGAAGCAAGAAUCUUCUAUAGGAAAGAUGAAAUGUUAUUAGAAAACGUGAACACAUUCACUCAUAGAAUAAAACUAGUCAUUUAGUCUCAAUAUUUUUCUCUCAAUUCUCUGUGUAUUGAUCAUUCUGGUCACGUCUGUCUAUUCAUAUUAUAUUUCUUUUUGUAUAAUAAUCUAAACACAUUGUUUUGUUUAGAUUAAGUGUAAAAAUUGGUAUUCAUACACAUUGAAGUUAAAUAAAGUAAUUGGGCCGACUUGAAUUGUUUUAA